GGCGGUAUGGCCAAGUGGUAAGGCAGAGGUUUGCAAAACCUUUAUCCCCAGUUCGAAUCUGGGUGCCGCCUCCA
rnacentral:tRNA from 1 species